GACGAACGCUGGCGGCGUGCUUAACACAUGCAAGUCGAACGGAAAGGCCCUGCUUUUGUGGGGUGCUCGAGUGGCGAACGGGUGAGUAACACGUGAGUAACCUGCCCUUGACUUUGGGAUAACUUCAGGAAACUGGGGCUAAUACCGGAUAGGAGCUCCUGCUGCAUGGUGGGGGUUGGAAAGUUUCGGCGGUUGGGGAUGGACUCGCGGCUUAUCAGCUUGUUGGUGGGGUAGUGGCUUACCAAGGCUUUGACGGGUAGCCGGCCUGAGAGGGUGACCGGCCACAUUGGGACUGAGAUACGGCCCAGACUCCUACGGGAGGCAGCAGUGGGGAAUAUUGCACAAUGGGCGGAAGCCUGGUGCAGCAACGCCGCGUGCGGGAUGACGGCCUUCGGGUUGUAAACCGCUUUCGCCUGUGACGAAGCGUGAGUGACGGUAAUGGGUAAAGAAGCACCGGCUGACUACGUG
rnacentral:rRNA from 1 species